rnacentral:rRNA from 1 species
GUUGCAGGGUAUAGACCCGAAACCCGGUGAUCUAGCCAUGGGCAGGUUGAAGGUUGGGUAACACUAACUGGAGGACCGAACCGACUAAUGUUGAAAAAUUAGCGGAUGACCUGUGGCUGGGGGUGAAAGGCCAAUCAAACCGGGAGAUAGCUGGUUCUCCCCGAAAGCUAUUUAGGUAGCGCCUCGUGAAUUCAUCUCCGGGGGUAGAGCACUGUUUCGGCUAGGGGGCCAUCCCGGCUUACCAACCCGAUGCAAACUGCGAAUACCGGAGAAUGUUAUCACGGGAGACACACGGCGGGUGCUAACGUCCGUCGUGAAGAGGGAAACAACCCAGACCGCCAGCUAAGGUCCCAAAGUCAUGGUUAAGUGGGAAACGAUGUGGGAAGGCCCAGACAGCCAGGAUGUUGGCUUAGAAGCAGCCAUCAUUUAAAGAAAGCGUAAUAGCUCACUGGUCGAGUCGGCCUGCGCGGAAGAUGUAACGGGGCUAAACCAUGCACCGAAGCUGCGGC